GUCUUUUUGAAUAUAAUUUAAAGUCUCGCCUGCCCACUGAAUAUUUUAAUGGCCGCGGUAUAUUGACCGUGCAAAGGUAGCAUAAUCAUUAGUUUUUUAAUUGAAAGCUGGAAUGAAUGGUUGGAUAAGGAAAAUACUGUCUCAAUUUAAAAUUUUUGAAUUUUAUUUUUAAGUUAAAAAGCUUAAAUUAAUUUAAAAGACGAGAAGACCCUAUAGAGUUUUAUAAAUUUAUUUUAUUAAAUUGUUUAGUAUAAAUUUAUUUAUUUUAAUUGAUUUAUUUAAUUGGGGUGAUUAAAAAAUUUAAAUAACUUUUUUUAUAUUAAAACAUUAAUUUAUGAAUAAUUGAUCCAUAAAAAUGAUUAAAAGAUUAAAUUACCUUAGGGAUAACAGCGUAAUUUUUUCAAAGAGUUCUUAUCGAAGAAAGAGAUUGCGACCUCGAUGUUGGAUUAAAAUUAAUUAUUGGUGUAGAAGCUAAUUAAUUGGGUCUGUUCGACCUUUAAAAUUUUACAUGAUCUGAGUUU
rnacentral:rRNA from 1 species